rnacentral:rRNA from 1 species
CCAGACUCCUACGGGAGGCAGCAGUGGGGAAUAUUGCACAAUGGGGGGAACCCUGAUGCAGCAACGCCGCGUGAAGGAAGAAGGCUUUCGGGUUGUAAACUUCUAUCAAUAGGGACGAAAAGAAUGACGGUACCUAAAUAAGAAGCCCCGGCUAACUACGUGCCAGCAGCCGCGGUAAUACGUAGGGGGCAAGCGUUAUCCGGAAUUACUGGGUGUAAAGGGAGCGUAGACGGCUGUGCAAGUCUGAAGUGAAAGCCCGUGGCUCAACCGCGGAACUGCUUUGGAAACUGUAUAGCUUGAGUACUGGAGAGGCAGGCGGAAUUCCUAGUGUAGCGGUGAAAUGCGUAGAUAUUAGGAGGAACACCAGUGGCGAAGGCGGCCUGCUGGACAGAAACUGACGUUGAGGCUCGAAAGCGUGGGGAGCAAACAGGAUUAGAUACCCGAGUAUUU